GAGCACGCUGAUAACAUAAAGCCAGGCUCCCCUGAGGACAAGGACUAGAACUUCUUCGUCUUCUCUACAUCAUCCAGUACCUGGCCCAUGCAUAAAAACAAGCCACCCCAGAGACGCAGAGCUGGCACCUCAAGCGGAAGGCUGGCUACGUUGUUUCCACUUGAUCUGAGCUUGCCGCCAUUGAGAUGGAAGAUACUGCUUCCCUUGGGGAGGAGAACGUUGUGUGCCAUGUGGCGCUGGAGAAAUUCAUGUGGACGCUGCGUGACUAUUUGCUGGGGAUUUUGUAGAGAAGAUGUUAGCACUCUGAAUGGUUAGACUUUCAAUAUUUCAUAUUUGAUUUCUCCAAAAUACCCAGAAUGACUGAGGAGACUAAAUAUUUAUCCUUAAGCUGAUAAAGGCAGGUAGUAUGAAAUUACCCUCCGCAAACAUACAAUGUCUUUGAAGUUGUAAAAGCCAUGCAUAAUUUACAACUUAAAUCAAAAUAUAUUUGUGUUUAUGCUAAUAUGUUCUAUUCUGAUUAUUAUAGUGCAAGGACUAGAAAUUAGUUGAACAAGUUAAGUAAAAUGGCCAGCUUAUGUUAAGUGAAUCCAUCUCGUAGAAUCCAAGAACAGUGAAGGCGGGGGAGCUGCAUGUUGUCGGGUGCUGGAGAGCUGUCGGGAGUGAGGGGGCUCUUCCCAUUUCUCAGGGCUGCUUGUGUUUCCUCUCAGCUCCUCUCUGUGGAUCUGCUCUCUGACAUUUAUAUGUGGUUCAAAACAGAACCCUUCACUUUUGGGUCUAUUCAGUCUUUUAGUUCCAGCCUUCAAGAUCAAAUAUCUACAGCCUCUUAGCUCAAAAUUGGAAUGGUUAUGCUCAUUGGACCAGGUGGCUAUCCCUAAAGCAAAUUAUUUAAGGUUGGAAAGGCAGCGUAUACAGUUGGUGUUCCAGGGACUAAGGGUAGGACAGGUCAAACUACAAGGGGGAGUCCUACAUACAAAGCAAAUAAUCUAUAAGUAAAUGUGAUGUUCCAAGUUACUUUCCAUCCUGAGAAGUCAAAGACAAACAGCAAAAAGUAUUUCACUUUCUCCUGUACCUUAGUGUAUAGCAUGGAACUAGACAAGGUCUAAUUUGAAGCUAAAUUCCAGAUUGUGUGCUCUCUCCCAGGGCCUGAAUAAUGUAAUUCUUUCACAAAAGGAAAAAAAUAGUAAUUUUACUGUGAAAAGUAGAAUAAUAUUUGUCAGACCAGACCUCAUGUAUUUUAGCUGUGUGCUCUUAGAAUAUAAAUACAAAAUGUAAAGAAAAGUAGUUUUUGAAGUCACCCUCCAGUUUAGUAUGAAAUGUAAUGGCGUCUUCAAACUUGGGUGAUGUUUACAUCUUAAAAUAACACUGUUGUUGUGAUGAAAUAUAUUACAUAAAAUUUACCAUUUUAACCAUGUUUGAGUGUACAGUUCAAUGGCAUUGAAUUGUAGAUAUUUUACUCUUUCGGAACCUAUUGUAAAUGUGAUUAUUUGUUGGUGUAUAGAAAUACAACCAAUUUUCUGUGUAUUUG
rnacentral:lncRNA from 1 species